CUGCAGCCGCGGUAAUACGAAGGGUGCAAGCGUUACUCGGAAUUACUGGGCGUAAAGCGUGCGUAGGUGGUGGUUUAAGUCCGUUGUGAAAGCCCUGGGCUCAACCUGGGAAUUGCAGUGGAUACUGGGUCACUAGAGUGUGGUAGAGGAUAGUGGAAUUUCCGGUGUAGCAGUGAAAUGCGUAGAGAUCGGAAGGAACAUCUGUGGCGAAGGCGACUAUCUGGGCCAACACUGACACUGAGGCACGAAAGCGUGGGGAGCAAACAGGAUUAGAUACCCCGGUAGUCCCUGUCUCUUAUAC
rnacentral:rRNA from 1 species